rnacentral:lncRNA from 1 species
UCUCCAAACUGGUGCUGGUGUCCCAAAGAAUAUGCCACUGGAAUAGGCGAGGCAGAAAAGAGGUGUGACAACCGAGAGUGGACUCCAUUUUAUAGAAGCAGCAGGGGCAGAGGGGAUACGGGAUGGCCCAAGUUGCAGUGGAAGCCUGAAACAGUUGGCAUUUGAUCCGGGUUUCUAGAGUGCUAAUCUCUGACUGAAUCACAAGUCUGGCUUCUGUCAUGGGCAUUUAUCAGGAGCUCAUACAAGAACUAUCACUGGAUUAAAAAGAGGAGAGUUUACACAGUGAAGUAUUAGAGGUUUUAAACAUAUACACACAUACACAUAUAUAUGCGCGUGUGUGGUGUUCUUCCUUAUCUGUUUACUCCCACCACCUCCUAGACUCUAUCUCAAAAAUGAUCCAUUUUGCUUUGUUACAGAGCUUGUGGUUGAGGUUCCCUGAAAACAUCUGAGGAGUAAUUUGGAUAUAAAUACCUCCUUGUCUGUAUUUGCAAACAAGUUCCUUCGGAUUGGAUAUUACCAUGAUACAAGUAGUUCUGAAAGGGUGACCCUGUGUUGGUUUUUUUUCCCCCUAUUUUCUUUAAUGGUCACUUUACAGAUGCUCACCUUCGAAAUUUGCAUUGCCAAGGGUUACUACAUCAAAAUAUUGCCAUUUGACAAUGCAACGAUAUACUUGUGACCCCUGGAAAAAGUUUAAUAAAACAGAAACAAUUGCGUGCUAC